UUUAAAAAAAAAACAAAAAAAAAUAACUUUGACACUUUUUUAUUGUAACUUUGAACAAAUGUUUUAAACUCAUGGUAUCUUAAGUAUGUAACCUAGUGAACCAGCAUUAAUGUAUUCAAUGUUAGAAAUUUAAGCACUUGUGUACGUCGCUCUGGUGUCUGCCAAAUGCUGUAAAUGUAAAUGUACUGCAAGGAAAUCAAAGGAGUAAUGGGAAGUUAAAGCAGAGAUAAAAUCAGCUUUCUUUACAGCAGACUGACAAUUCCAGAGCCCACCUACCACCACUGUAUGAGACUUACACAGGAGGGUAAAUGAGGUUACUGGGAUUGUGACCUCUGCUCUGUGGAUGAGAGCGUCUGCGAGAGUAGGCCUUGAGUACAGAGAUGGAUUUAAGGCACAUAUUUGUUGUCAAACAAGAGUGAGAAUUAAGGUAUGGUAGAAUAUAUCAAAACAGUACUAGACACUAAUGUUAGAGAGAGAGAUACUGACAAACCUCUUCAGAACCUUCAGAACAGAACCUUCAAUUUAAAUAGGUAAGCCCUGACCCCAAUCCACACCUUACGAGAGACUGAAACUACUCCUGAUUAAUCAGCUGAGAGAACAACAAAGACCAACACUAUAAAAUCAACAAUGGUAUAGAAUAUAACACAAUUCAAAUCACACUACUCUAGAACAAAGUGAGUUAAGCAGAUAGUAUACAAAAGACAGGAACCUACUUUACCAGAAGAUAAUAUAAUCAAAUGUAGAGAGUUAAAGCAUAUUGAAGACGAAUGUUUUGUUUUUGAGUGCCAUGCAGAACGUGGACAAGUUGACAGGCGAAGAUGUCACACGAGGAAUUGGACAGAGAUUUCCUUGGAAACAACCCCAGGUGGAUGUUUCAGCGCUGCGGGGACACGGAAACGGAAUGCCAGUGUUGGAGCCAAUGGUAUUGUAGCGAUUUUGGCUCGCGAAGCAAGCAACAUCUGCUAUUUACAGUAAGGUCCUGCCAUGUUUAUCACCCAGACAAGCAGAUACAAGCUGAUAUUUCUAUAAUAGCCUCUAGCUGCCCCCACCUUACCUUACUUACCUUCCUCUCUCCCGCUGUCCCCUUACUGCACUCCAUGCAUCAGCAAAGUUGGUCAGAGCAACAGCUGCCCUCUACUGCCCGCUACCUGACUGAUCCAUCUCUCCCUCACAUUACUGUCACACCUUACUUUGUUGUCCCCUAACACCCCAUUUUACUGCCCCUCUAAUUCACUCUACUGACCAAAUUUUCACAUUACUACCCAUCAUCUUACUUUCCCUGAUACUGUAUACCCCAUAAUAUUAACCAUCACCAUACUUCUACACCCAGCUGCCUUCUACUUGCCUUACUGCCCCAAAUCCAUCUUACUGCCCCAGAGUUUAAUGCCCCAGAAGACCUCCAUAUUAGAGCAAAAGAAAAUCUGUCACAAAGUCUCCUGAUCCGUCUCCCGAACCAUGAAUGCUGUAAGAAGAAUUGAGUAAUUCUGGGAAGGUGAAAGCUUCAGAAAGGGGAUCAGAGAAUGCCAGGUCAGUUUAACACCACUGUACAAAUGCUGUUGAAGGGUGUGGGUGUGAUGGUAAUAGUGAAGAAGAAAUGGGAGAAUAUGGUGCACCUCUUUCGGAUAGUGUCAAACAUUAUGAAAAUCCACCUAACAAAAACCCUGAGAACACGCACUCUACAAUCAAUCCUUUCAAGCCACUAACAUUGCCAGCUUUGUCAACAUGAUCUCUACAACCUACACCGAGGUGUUCACCAAGCACCUUACAGAUCAUAUCAACUCUCUGGGAAAACUGAUGGCCAUGGACAAGGAAAAGCCAGAGUUUCAGUCUGAGGUUAAUCAGUUACAGAACUAAUGUGAUGAGGCUCAGAAACUCAUCUUAGUCCAUGUCCUAAAGCACAAGCAGGAGUUUGAAAUUAAGUCUUGCAAGACUUGAGAAGAUUGAUGCUCAGCUGCUCACCAUUCUCCCUGCCGAAGAUGAAAAUUCACAGAUUAAGAAGAAGGGAAAGGUGGACUCACAGAGGAAGAUUACAUCUAACUAAAUAAACAGCUCAGAACUUAUUACAACCUAUUGAGAAAAAUACUGUCUGUAAUACAGCCUGUAAUUAAAGUUACAUUUAAUCCUCA